rnacentral:lncRNA from 1 species
GGUACUUGUUGGAGUGACCAGACAAAGAACCAUUGAUGUCCUGCAGCCAAAAAUCACACCGUGACAUCAAAUGUUUCAUCAAGUAAACAGCAAGGAGUUCUUUAGGCUGUGUUCUCUAGACCUGAAAAUGUCCUCCAUGGUUCAGUCAACAAAUAUCUCUGUAGAAAACCUGAAAAAAUGUUCUCUCAGCUAUCCAUGAACAUUUCAGUCUAGGGCAAACAAAUAAUGUUUGUUUCAAAAACAGACGUCUGUUUCACGCACACAUGCCCAAGCCCCAUCAUAGCUCCCCCUUUCUUUGUCCGCAGUGGAAGUUAAUGUUUUCAUGUCAGCUAUCUAAUGUGAACAAAAUGAUUUCUAAAUGUAGAAACACUGCUAAUGCACUUAGGUGAAAUUGCUGGCAGGGCAAACAAGCAACUCAUUGGGGGUGAAGUCAUCCUCUUGGAAAUCUACCUUGGUACCCAUUGUGAGCUCUAAGAGGUGGAUCAGAAAGCUGAUUUUCCCAUCUGCUAUAAAAUGGAACCUGGACUGAGGGCAUCAGGAAAGUCAGCUUGCUGAUUCAGUAACUAUAUGACUUCUUUUUCCGCUUCAGAAAUGGGGCACUUGACAGGCUUCAUGCUUGCUUUUUGAUGUUGCUUCUGUAGAUGAGUUAGUGAAGGAGCUAGUCUGUCAAAUAUUGUCAUUGAAUUCUGAUCCCUUCUGUGUUUUUAACUGACAGUCUGAAUCACCAGUGUCAAUUGCUGCAUUCUGAUACAGGUACAGUAAAUUGAGGGCAUUCCGUGACCAAGACUUACAGUUUAGAAACAACCCACCUGAAUGCUGUUUUCACCAUGUGGAUACCUGAAAAGACCUCCCCUCUUUCUAAAACCUAAUAAGAACAACGUACAG